rnacentral:rRNA from 1 species
UGGGGAAUAUUGCACAAUGGGCGCAAGCCUGAUGCAGCCAUGCCGCGUGUAUGAAGAAGGCCUUCGGGUUGUAAAGUACUUUCAGCGGGGAGGAAGGGAGUAAAGUUAAUACCUUUGCUCAUUGACGUUAUCCGCAGAAGAAGCACCGGCCAACUCCGUGCCAGCAGCCGCGGUAAUACGGAGGGUGCAAGCGUUAAUCGGAAUUACUGGGCGUAAAGCGCACGCAGGCGGUUUGUUAAGUCAGAUGUGAAAUCCUCGGGCUCAACCUGGGAACUGCAUCUGAUACUGGCAAGCUUGAGUCUCGUAGAGGGGGGUAGAAUUCCAGGUGUAGCGGUGAAAUGCGUAGAGAUCUGGAGGAAUACCGGUGGCGAAGGCGGCCCCCUGGACGAAGACUGACGCUCAGGUGCGAAAGCGUGGGGAGCAAACAGG